UUCGGGCGCGGUCGUCAGGGGACAGAUCCUCAGCCAGCUUUAGGUUGUUACCUUUCAGGUAUAGGUGGACUGCUUAGCAGCGCGCCAGACAGCAUCGCGGUAGAUCCUGGAUGUAAACUGAAUGAUGAUUCCCCUGGGUUGGUUGUUGUUGGACCUCUUGGGGCCGAUGCGGUGGACGGUGUGAACGACGUCGGGGAAUUUAUCUUGCAUCUCCGCUUUUUUCAUCUCGGAGAUGGCUAUGGAGUUGUCACUCACCAGUUUUUCAAGAGUGUCCGACCUCGAGUUAAUCAACAUGAUGCACUGUUGAAGUUUCUAAAUCCCACCCCUGGGCCAUCUACCACAUCUACCGCUGCUGCCUCCACUUCAGCAGCACAACCCACCAGAGGAUGCAGCAUCAGCAGCACAACCCAGCCAUGAUGCAGCAGCAUCAAGCGGUCUUCCUGUUGCCUUAUUUAUAUUGUAUUUUUAAUUUAUUUUAUCCAACUUGUUGACACGUUUUAUUGUGUUUAUGUAUGUAAAAUUUAUUGUAUUUCAUAUAUUCAUUUUUUAUUUUUUGUAUUCAUUUAUUUUUUCAUAUAUUUUUUUAUCUUGUUAAUUAUUCUGAUUGUGAAUUUGCUUUCUUUAAGUAAAAAAAAAGGUCAAAGACAAAGCUAUUCGGUUUCUUGUGAGUACAUACACUGCACUGCUGAUGUAGGGGGGCGCCACCUAAAAUCUUGCCUAGGGCGCCAGAUUGGUUAGGGCCGGGCCUGGUGGGCAGUUAAAAUAAAGAGAAUAAAUACUCUCUUUCUUUAUCAUUGGUGUAAAUGUGUUGUUUUUUUCAUCUGGGCUACAAUUUGUAAU
ensembl:lncRNA